AAACAGGCUCUGUACUACUUGUCCUCACAGAAUGACUAACAGAAAUAUGACCCUUGUGCACUUUUUGUAGUUAAUUCAUUAGGUCAGCUCUAACCACUAAGCCCCUUGUCAGGUUAUUUCUAGUAGUGACAAGGAGCAAUUAAGCUUAAAAGACUGAAGCCAGGUAGAUGAGCCUAUUCCAGGAGGUCUCUUGGCUCCACCCUUGUGAAGUGAAACCUGCCAGGUGUGGAUCAUUUGACUUUUGCUAUAUAGGAAGCCUGAGGACUUGUGGGGAAUUGCCUUCCCGGUGGGAGAGUUUGAGGCUCAGGUUCUCUAGGGUGCUUUUCUGCUGUUGUGGUGGAGCGGAUUCAGUGUUCCUCGGUGGGCUGCUAUUUCUUCACGUUUUCUCCCAUCUCUGUGAAACAGUUUUAGUGACUCUAUGAGCUAGCUACGUUGUUGGUGCCCUCUCAGUACAGUGAGACCCUGGUUACGCGAAGUCACUGUGAAGCAGCGUGGAAGUGACUCAAGUUCAGGAGCUGGCAGUGAAAUUACUUCUGUGGCUUCUAAGCUCCCUUUCCAGCCCUUCCAAAUAUAAUGAGAAUGAAAGCUAAAAAGAAAGCCCCACCAACUCAGAAGCUCAAGUGCUUACAGGCCUGCGUCUCGGCUGUGGAGAAAGAUUUGGAAUAGGUCCACCAGUGAGGAGAGACUAUCUUUCUCCCAGGCUGUACAAACCAGUGUCUGAGGUAUUGGGGAAAGCGUCCUUCUGUGAAAGGAAGAGAGCAGAGCGGGACCACGGCCCGUGCCACCCUGCGGUUCUACCAGCGUGACCAUGCAGAGACGGUGAGAGUAAAGGAAGAAAAAUUGAAGCUGCUGUUAAAGGCAUGGCUACCUGAGUUGUAAAUAAAAAAAAAAAAAAAAAGAGGGAAAAGAGGUUCUCUGAGAAUCGUGCUACUGCAAGGUCCCCAGAUCUGCAGGCUGGCUGCGCAGCAAGAGAAGGGAGGGGUCAGACUCAGGGUAGGUCACCCAAACUAGCCAAAGCUGUGUUUCAUACCAUCUGACGUCAUGCUAAACAAUAUAUAGGAUUGGCUAGCCUGGGGAGGUGUGCCGGACUGCACGGGUUUAGGCUGGGCAUCGGUCAGCGGGUGGUGAGCAAUUGCGUUGCGCAUCACUUGUUUUUACACAGUAUUAGUAGUGUUGUUGUGUCUUAAUAAACUCUCUUUAUCUCAACUCACGGGCUUCACUUUCCCGUUUCUCUCCCCCAUCCCAGAGAGGGAGGGGGGAUGUUGAGCAAAUGGCUAUGUGGUGUUUUGCUGCCAGCCAGGUUAAACCACAACAGUCCAUUCUGGCGCCCAACGUGGGGCACAAAGUUUUGAGAUAAUAACAGAUCUGACCAGAGUGUGUUAAACUAAAAUUGUUAUAAGUAUUAGACUUGCUUAAUAGUUAGUUGUCAUAAUACUGAUUGCUUUUAUCCCAAGUCUGCUGUGCCUGUUUUCCAAAUUGAGCAUUAUAGCACAUUGUUUUCCGUAUGUGCUCUCUGUCAUGUUGUUUAUCCUCUCUGGGCCCUGGUUUAAGAUCAUUAUGGUACUGUGUGUUGUAGCAGUGGCUUAUGAGACGAUGAAAUAUCUGGUCAUGACUCUAACUUGGUAUUUGUACUCAGUGAUGUCGUCAACUCUAUACUCUGGAAACCAUAUCUCGGAAACUAUUAGCAAUUAUACCUAUCGCCUUUUUUCAUCGUGGAGUCAGUCUGUGGCGGGGAAAGGGGAAGAUACUUUUUCAUACUCGUUCACUCUCCCUUUCUCCUUCACCACCCUCUAAUCCUCCAAGCUAGUUACAAUAGUUCUCCAAGAUAUUGAAUAUCCUUGGGAUACUCAGACCAGCAUGUUCUUGUUGUUAUGCCUCCUGAAUAUGCUUCAGGUUUUGCUUGAAGUUAAACAACUAUUGAGGAAUCUCAUCCAGAUAUCUGCCUGGAGGCAGGAUAGUUGCGAGUGGCAGGGAGUAUGGGAGGAUAUGGGCAGGCAUCUAGAGCAGCGGGCACCUCCAGUGUUCUGGAAAUUCACCCCCGAACAACUGCAAAAUCCUAAAAAACUGAUAGAAUGCUUGAAAAAAAGGUGUCUUGACUCUGGCAGUUCCAAAGUAACACAAAUCAUUGUAACGUGCUGGGGCCUGGCUCAUGCCUAUCGAGCUGUACAAACCAGUUUCUGAGGUAUUGGGGAAAGCGUCCUUCUGUGAAAGGAAGAGAGCAGAGCGGGACCAAGGCCCGUGCCACCCUGUGGUUCUACCAGCGUGACCAUGUAGAGACGGCUGAGACCUGAACAGGACAUCGCAGCGGCGCCGGGACAUCGCAGCACAGCGGGAGACCGGC